rnacentral:miRNA from 1 species
GGGGUGUGUGUGUGUGUGUGUGUGUGUGUGUGUGUGUGUGAGUGUGUAGGCGGUGGGGGACAAGGUCUGGUUUGUCAUCCACAAGGCCCAGCCCAGG